rnacentral:rRNA from 1 species
GAUGAACGCUAGCGGCAGGCUUAAUACAUGCAAGUCGAACGGGAUUCGGUGUAGCAAUACUUGCCGGCGACCGGCGCACGGGUGCGUAACACGUAUGUAAUCUACCCUUUACUGGAGAAUAGCCCGAAGAAAUUCGGAUUAAUGCUCCAUAAUAUCACUGGAAGGCAUCUUUUGGUGAUUAAAGUUCCGACGGUAAAGGAUGAGCAUGCGCGAUAUUAGCUAGUUGGUGAGGUAACGGCUCACCAAGGCGACGAUAUCUAGGGGUACUGAGAGGUUACACCCCCACACUGGUACUGAGACACGGACCAGACUCCUACGGGAGGCAGCAGUAAGGAAUAUUGGACAAUGGUCGCAAGACUGAUCCAGCCAUGCCGCGUGCAGGAUGAAUGCCCUAUGGGUUGUAAACUGCUUUUAUACGGGAAUAAACCCGGGUACGUGUACCCGGCUGAAUGUACCGUAAGAAUAAGGGUCGGCUAACUUCGUGCCAGCAGCCGCGGUAAU